GCCUUCUGAAAGGAAGAUUAAUACAAGAUGGCAUCAUGAGUUCACAUGUUCACAUGAUUAAAGGUAUUCCGGUAGACGAUGGGGAUGCGUUCCAUUAGAUAGUAGGCGGGGUAACGGCCCACCUAGUCUUCGAUGGAUAGGGGUUCUGAGAGGAAGGUCCCCCACAUUGGAACUGAGACACGGUCCAAACUCCUACGGGAGGCAGCAGUGAGGAAUAUUGGUCAAUGGGCGCAGGCCUGAACCAGCCAAGUAGCGUGAAGGAUGACCGCCCUAUGGGUUGUAAACUUCUUUUAUAAAGGAAUAAAGUCGGGUAUGUAUACCCGUUUGCAUGUACUUUAUGAAUAAGGAUCGGUUAACUCCGUGCCAGCAGCCGCGGUAAUACGGAGGAUCCGAGCGUUAUCCGGAUUUAUUGGGUUUAAAGGGAGCGUAGAUGGAUGUUUAAGUCAGUUGUGAAAGUUUGCGGCUCAACCGUAAAAUUGCAGUUGAUACUGGAUAUCUUGAGUGCAGUUGAGGCAGGCGGAAUUCGUGGUGUAGCGGUGAAAUGCUUAGAUAUCACGAAGAACUCCGAUUGCGAAGGCAGCCUGCUAAGCUGCAACUGACAUUGAGGCUCGAAAGUGUGGGUAU
rnacentral:rRNA from 1 species